GACGAACGCUGGCGGCGUGCCUAAUACAUGCAAGUCGAACGCAGUGGGGACGGGUGAGUAACACGUUGGUAACCUCCCAUCAGAGGGGAUAACACUUGGAAACAGGUGCUAAACCGAUCCUGAUGGAUGGACCCGCGGUGCAUUAGCUAGUUGGUGAGGUAAAGGCUCACCAAGGCCACGAUGCAUAGCCGACCUGAGAGGUUGAUCGGCCACACUGGAACUGAGACACGGCCCAGACUCCGAAGGGAGGCAGCAGUGGGGAAUAUUCGGCAAUGGACGAAAGCCUGACCGAGCAACGCCGCGUGAGUGAAGAAGGUUUUCGGAUCGUAAAACUCUGUUGUUAGAGAAGCGGUAUCUAACCAGAAAGCCACGGCUAACUACGUGCCAGCAGCCGCGGUAAUUC
rnacentral:rRNA from 1 species